rnacentral:tRNA from 2 species
GGAAAGAUGUCCGAGUGGUUGAAGGUGUAGAUCUGGAACGUCUAUAUGGUAGUAAUAUCAUCGAGGGUUCGAAUCCCUCUCUUUCCG